rnacentral:rRNA from 1 species
AUUGAGCGCUGGCGGCAGGCCUAACACAUGCAAGUCGAGCGCGAAAGUUCUUCGGAAUGAGUAAAGCGGCGGACGGGUGAGUAAUACAUGGGAAUCUGCCUGGUAGUGGGGGACAACGUUUCGAAAGGAACGCUAAUACCGCAUACGCCCUACGGGGGAAAGGGGGGGAUCUUCGGACCUCUCGCUAUCAGAUGAGCCCA